rnacentral:rRNA from 1 species
UACGUAGGGUGCAAGCGUUUAAUCGGAAUUACUGGGCGUAAAGCGUGCGCAGGCGGUGAUGUAAGACAGAUGUGAAAUCCCCGGGCUCAACCUGGGAACUGCAUUUGUGACUGCAUCGCUGGAGUGCGGCAGAGGGGGGAUGGAAUUCCGCGUGUAGCAGUGAAAUGCGUAGAUAUGCGGAGGAACACCGAUGGCGAAGGCAAUCCCCCUGGGCCUGCACUGACGCUCAUGCACGAAAGCGU